UGAAUACGAGAUGCUACGGCGUCGAAGCAGUCUAUGUCAUACUUCCAAGAAAAGCUUGCACUGUCAUAAACAAAUAAUGCCUGUACCAUAACCGACACAGGUGGGUAGGUAGAGUAUACUAAGGGGCGCGAGAUAACUCUCUCUAAGGAACUCGGCAAAAUGACUCCGUAACUUCGGGAGAAGGAGUGCCUUAUUUAUAAGGUUGCAAUAACAAGACCCAAGCAACUGUUUAUCAAAAACACAGGUCUCCGCUAAGUCGUAAGACGAUGUAUGGGGGCUGACGCCUGCCCAGUGCCAGAAGGUUAAAGAAGUUGGUUAGCAUUAGCGAAGCUGAUGACUGAAGCCCUGGUGAACGGCGGCCGCAACAAUAACGGUCCUAAGGUAGCGAAAUUCCUUGUCGGGUAAGUUCCGACCCGCACGAAAGGCGUAAUGAUUUGGGUACUGUCUCAGAGAGGGACUCGGUGAAAUAGACUUGUCUGUGAAGAUGCGGACUACCUGCACCUGGACGGAAAGACCCUAUGAAGCUUUACUGUAACCUGAAAUUGAAAUUGGACUUUAUUUGCGCAGUAUAGGUGGGAGGCUUUGAAGAUAUUCUUGCGGGAAUGUUGGAGCCAUCAGUGAGAUACCACUCUUGUAAUGUUAGAUUUCUAACUUUGUAUCAUUAUCUGGUCAAAGAACAGUUUCAGGCGGGCAGUUUGACUGGGGCGGUCGCCUCCUAAUCGGUAACGGAGGCGCACAAAGGUUUCCUCUGAACGGGUAGAAAUCGUAUCUAGAGUGUAAAGGCAUAAGGAAGCUUGACUGUGAGACCUACAAGUCGAGCAGGGACGAAAGUCGGUCUUAGUGAUCUGACGGUGCUGAGUGGAAAGGCCGUCACUCAACGGAUAAAAGUUACUCUAGGGAUAACAGGCUGAUCUCCCCCAAGAGUUCACAUCGACGGAGGUUUGGCACCUCGAUGUCGGCUCAUCGCAUCCUGGGGCGGUAGUACGUCCCAAGGGUUGGGCUGUUCGCCCAUGAAAGCGGUACGCGAGCUGGGUUCAGAACGUCGUGAGACAGUUCGGUCCAUAUCCGGUGUAGGCGUUAGAAUAUUGAGAGGAGCCUUCUCUAGUACGAGAGGACCGAGAAGGACACACCUCUAGUGUACCAGUUAUCGUGCCAACGGUAAACGCUGGGUAGCUAUGUGUGGAGCGGAUAACCGCUGAAAGCAUCUAAGUGGGAAGCCCACCUCAAGAUAAG
rnacentral:rRNA from 1 species